UUGCUUCACCAGCACAUACACCAAAAUUUUAAUGAUAUAAAGGCAAUUAGCAUGGUUUCUGUGCAAGGAUGAUACACAAAUUCAUUAGGUAUUCAUAUUUUUG